UACGGAGGGUGCGAGCGUUGUCCGGAAUCACUGGGCGUAAAGGGCGCGUAGGCGGCUUCUCAAGCGUGUGGUGAAAGUCCGGGGCUCAACCCCGGAUCGGCCGUGCGGACUGGGGAGCUCGAGUUCUGUAGAGGCGGGUGGAAUUCCGGGUGUAGCGGUGGAAUGCGUAGAGAUCCGGAAGAACACCAGUGGCGAAGGCGAUCACCUGGGGUUGUUCUGACGCUGAGGAGCGAAAGCUAGGGGAGCAAACGGG
rnacentral:rRNA from 1 species